rnacentral:rRNA from 1 species
CUACGUGCCAGCAGCCGCGGUAAUACGGAAGGUCCAGGCGUUAUCCGGAUUUAUUGGGUUUAAAGGGAGCGUAGGCUGGAGAUUAAGUGUGUUGUGAAAUGUAGACGCUCAACGUCUGAAUUGCAGCGCAUACUGGUUUCCUUGAGUACGCACAACGUUGGCGGAAUUCGUCGUGUAGCGGUGAAAUGCUUAGAUGUGACGAAGAACUCCGAUUGCGAAGGCAGCUGACGGGAGCGCAACUGACGCUUAAGCUCGAAGGUGCGGGUAUCAAACAGGAUUAGAUACCCUGGUAGUCCGCACAGUAAACGAUGGAUGCCCGCUGUUGGUACCUGGUAUCAGCGGCUAAGCGAAAGCAUUAAGCAUCCCACCUGGGGAGUACGCCGGCAACGGUGAAACUCAAAGGAAUUGACGGGGGCCCGCACAAGCGGAGGAACAUGUGGUUUAAUUCGAUGAUACGCGAGGAACCUUACCCGGGCUUGAAUUGCAGAGGAAGGAUUUAGAGAUA